rnacentral:lncRNA from 1 species
AAAAAGAAAAAAAAAGAACAAAAUCACUAACUAAGGAGUACUCAUUCACUCUUACCUACUCAGGUAGCGAUAAGUAACGUACUGCAUGCGAUCCUGGAGUUUUUCUUUUUUCAUAUAUCCGUUUAUUCAAAAUGUCUUAUCUUUUAAACCGCGCGUUUAAAUUUUGAACCGUUUUCACUGUUGGAUUUCUCGCGUCGAGAUCUUGAAAACUAAAUCCUAUGUUGAUAAAAUUCAAUGUACUUUUUUCAAAAAAAAUAACCGAACUGAAAGUACAUAUUUUUUCUUUCCGAAAAAGGCACGACCGUACCUUUCACGGAAGAAAAAACAGAAAAUACGUUUUUUCGUUUUCAAUGAGCACGGUCGUGCCUCUCACAGAAGCAAUACCGUACCUACCGUAGAAGAAGAAAAAAACACAAAAUACAUAUUUUACAUUUUCUAGAGACACGGCCAUGCCUUUCACGAAAAAAAAGAAAAAUAAAAACAUGUUUUUUUCAUUUUCGAGAGGCACGGCUUGCUACUCGCGAAAGCAAAACCGUUCUUUUCGCGAAAAAAAAAACUAAAAAUGUAUUUUUUUUAUUUCUAAGAGGCACGGCCGUGCCUCUCACGAAAGCAAAAUCAUGCCUCUUGCGGAAGGGAAAAAGUGUUUUUCAUGCAAAAAAGUAAAAAUCAAAAUUUCUUUCGGUCCAAAAUCUAAGAAAGACCUGUGAAAAAUAAAAGGUAAAAAAACAGUUUAAAGAGUCAAAAACGUGUGCUGAAAAAAAUUCAGAGGGAGCGACAGAACACAACACGUGACGACGACUGAGAACAUGCCAAGUAGUGAUCGUUGGGAGGCUUUUGAAGAAGCGCUCGCCAACUAGUUGCUGUCAUAAAAGAGAAAGAAACGGUGAAGCUGACCGUGGGCCGGCCCAAACUGGGGGGUUGGGUGGAACGCCUUCAGCGAAGCCUCGCCUCUAUGACGCCCGCGUGUGUUGUGAAAGUUGGGCCAGACUGCAAACUGUAUUGGAAGUUGGGCCAGAUUGAUUUAUCUUCAGCAGGGUUUAUCUUUUAGACUCUAAUUCUUUCACUUUGCCUUAGUUCGCUCUCGGCAUUUGGUUGUGGUAUGUGACUUUGUUUCUGAAAAUAUUUGGUGAUGCAUCAAAAUUGUUGCUUGAAGCCAUGGUGCAACCGAAUUAUCAUUGAUUUAGUACUCUUUGUAGUAUUAAAGUUGUACUAAAGCAAUGACAAUUCAUUUGGAGCACCGACAAUUCAUUUUGUUUGAAGGGAGCAUAUCGUAAUAAAGCAGCGACAACUUAUUAUUUCAAAAAUCUAAAACUAGCUUGUGAUUUAUGAAGUUAGUGAAAUAAUUUAUUUGGAAAAAGUGAAAUACAUCUAAUUUUUGUGUGAAACUGCUUAUUUCAAUGUUUGAAACUGAUAUUUAUGAUCAAUGAAAUACGUUGCAACAUAUUAGUACAUGCGAAGUGAAAUAUGAGAUAUAUAUUUUUUGUAAUGAGAAAUCAGUUUUUUGAAACGAGUGAAAUAUAGUAUUUCAAUUGAGUGACUGUAAUGUGUUUUUUGAUAUGAAUGAAAUCUAUCAUUUAUAAAUGAGUGUAAUAUAUUUUCUCAAAUAAAUGAAAUAUGUUUUUUGAAUUGGGUAAAAUGAAUUUUAUAAAAUGAGUGAAAUCAGUUUUCUCAAACCGUCAUACUCUUCCAUCUCAUCCCCCACGUUGACUUUGCUCAUUAGUUUCAAAAAGGAGUGAUCUUUGGACAUGUAGUAGAAUCUAGAGAAGUCUCUAAAACAUCUAUGCAUAGUGCUUUUUCUAAUGAACGUAAAUACCACAUUCAAACGGUAAAUAUUGAUGUUAUGUAAGUAACGACCGUAAAUACCACAUUCUCUAAAGUUAACAUACCACGAAAUCUGUCUAGCCCAAGACUAUAACACAUCAAUACUCUGUUAAUUAAUUUCUAGAUGCACAACGUAGACUAGCAUAGCAAAACAAAAUGAAGCACGCCUGCUCAUCUAGUAGUUUGUAUCGCUAGGCGAUGUAUAAUUCAGGCACAAACGAGAAACCUAAAUGUAGCACUCCCAGAAUCUAGGACUUCCAAAAUCAUUUGUGGAAUAGAUUGUGCUAUAUCAUGCACAGGUGGAUUUACAAAUAUUUUUAUAGACUUUUGAUAUACACUAGUUCAGGCACAAAACUAAAACAUCCUCCCCGCAAAAAGAACUAUAGGCCGACGCUGGAGAUGUCACUCAUCUCCGCAGAGGAGGAGGGAGAGGCCGCCGGCAACACCGCGGGAGCAGCCUCGACAGCAAGGGUCAGACCGCGCGAGCGGCCCGAGCCAGCGCCCGUCACCCCACGGCUCGGAGGAGGGUCACGCGAGGGAGAGCGGCUGUGGCCCGAGCGCUCGUCGUCGUCGUCCAGAUCCUCGCUCCGCCUUCCUCGCCUCGCUCUGCCUUCGACCCUCGAGGCGCCUCUCCUGGCCAUGGUGGCCCCUGAGGGAGUCCUGGAUUAGGGGGUAUCCGGACAGCCGGACUAUAUACAUCAUCCGGACUAUUGGAGCGUGAAGAUACAAGACUCAAGACUCCGUCCCGUGUCCGGAUGAGACUCUCCUUUGCCUGGGAGACAAGCUUGGUGAUCCGGAUAUUGUAUUUCCUUCCUUGUAACCGACUCCAUGUAAACCCUAGCUCUCUCCGGUGUCUAUAUGAACCGGAGAGGUUGGUCCUUAGAAGGCCGAUCACAACUAUAAUUAUAAUCAUCAUAGGCUAGCUUCUAGGGUUUAGCCUCUACGAUCUCGUGAUAGAUCUACUCUUGUACUACUCAUAUCGUCAAUAUUAAUCAAGCAGAAAGUAGGGUUUUACCUCCAUCGAGAGGGCCCGAACCUAGGUAAACAUUGUGUCCCUUGCUUCCUGUUACCAUCAGCCUAAGACGUACAGAUCGGGACCCCCUAACCGAGAUCCGCCGGUUUUGACACCGACAUUGGUGCUUUCAUUGAGAGUUCCUCUGUGUCGUCGCUGCAAGGCUUGAUGGCGCCUUCAAUCGUCGACAGCACAGUCCAGGGCGAGACUUUUCUCCCCGGACAGAUCUUCUUGUUCGGCGGCUUUGCACUGCGGGCCAAUUCGCUUGGCUAUCUGGAGCAGAUCGACAGCUACGCCCCUAGCAUCCAGGUCAGGUUCAGAAACCUGAACUACACGGCCGUUAUCCGCGGAGACUUGAUCUUCGACCGAAUCGGGCCUGUGCCAGGAGUGCCGGGCAGCGACGAUGAGCACGGCCUAGACCUGCUGUCGGACAGUGCUCGGGAUAUUACCCCUGCAGUAGUCCCGAACCUAAAUCUGGAGCAGACUGCGUGGCCCAAGGACGGGUGGAUGGACCCCGCCCCGCAGGCCGCACACUCAUCGACGGUAGAGCCGAACACAGGCCUCACUUCUAAGGAAGCCUGUGACUCUGGACCCCCGGACUCGUAUCCGGUUGUAGGUUCCAGUCCGCGCGCUCCUGAGCCCGCCGAGCCUGGUUGGGCUCCGGUAAUGGAGUUUACCGCUACGGAUAUCUUCCAGCACUCGCCCUUUUGCGACAUGCUGAACUCAUUAAAGUCUCUCUCUUUGUCAGGAGGCUCUUGGCCGAACUAUGUCCGACUCGAGCGGGAAGCAGGCGACGAAGGAAUUCGCUGCCCACCCACCACUCACUUCAUUGCCACGGUUGAUGAUCUAACCGACGUGCUUGACUUCGACUCCGAAGACAUCGACGAUAUGGACGACGAUGCAGGAGAAGUACAUGAACCACCGCUCACAGGGCGGUGGACAGCCACCUCCUCAUAUGAUAUAUAUAUAUAUAUAUGGUGGACACUCUGAAGGAAACCAAUGGCGAUGAGGCAACGGAGGAUAACCCCUCAGGGAGAAAAACAAAGCAUGGGCGUCAUCGACGCCGCUCCAGGCCCCGCCACAGCAAUACCGGCCCAGGAGACGAUAACAAUCCGGAUGGUGCCGAAGAGGAAUACAACCCUGAUCAGCCCGCCUUCGAGCAGGCCGAGCAGGAAGAUGAGCAGGUCAGCCCAGACAAACAGGCGACAGACGGAUAUCCGAAGGAGGACAACUACAUGCCCCCCCUUCGAAGACAAGAUUAGCCUCGGCGACGACGAGUUUGGCGUGCCUGAGGAUCCCAUGGAGCAGGAGCGCUUCAAGUGUCGGCUUAUGGCCACUGCGAGGAGUCUAAAAAAGAAGCAGCAGCAACUCCAAGUUGAUUAAGACCUGCUCACAGAUAGAUGGACUGAGGUCCUGGCAGCCAGGAAUAUGGACUCGAGCACCACUCGGCUGACCGGCCACCCCGCGGCCGGGAUAAAACGGCAUAUCAGCCCGAAUACCAGCCCGCACCCCCACGCCAAUAAACUACGGCCCGUGGCAACAGGCAAGACCUGCAAGAUAUACUGGAAAACAAAGCAGGAUAGCCAAGAUCGAUCUACUGUUCGCNNNNNNNNNNNNNNNNNNNNNNNNNNNNNNNNNNNNNNNNNNNNNNNNNNNNNNNNNNNNNNNNNNNNNNNNNNNNNNNNNNNNNNNNNNNNNNNNNNNNNNNNNNNNNNNNNNNNNNNNNNNNNNNNNNNNNNNNNNNNNNNNNNNNNNNNNNNNNNNNNNNNNNNNNNNNNNNNNNNNNNNNNNNNNNNNNNNNNNNNNNNNNNNNNNNNNNNNNNNNNNNNNNNNNNNNNNNNNNNACGCGACAAUGACCGUCGCGAUGGAUACACCAUAAACAAGUCCGGCCGGGCCGAACAUAGCCACCCAGAGCAAUUCGAACUGCGUAGCCACAUAGCCCGGCAUAAAGGCGCCGCACACCCCCUCUGCUUCACCGAUGAAGUGAUGGAUCAUGAAUUCCGAGAAGAGUUCAAAGCCGUAAACAUCGAAUCAUACGAUGACACAACAGACCCCGCCUGCAGUACGGAUUGAAGAUUUCCUUCUCCAUAUUCACAUGGCCCGCGGAGACGACCUACACGACAUCAAGUAUCUUCUCCUUAAGCUCAAAGGACCCGCUCGACACUGGCUAAACAGCCUGCCCGCAAAUUCCAUUGGCAGUUGGGAAAACCUGGAAGACGCGUUCCUCGACAACUUCCAGGGCACAUACGUGCGACCACCGGACGCCGAUGAUUUGAGCCACAUUACUCAACAGCCCGGAGAGUCAGCCAGGAAAUUUUGGACUCGGUUCCUAACUAAAAAGAACCAAAUAGUCGACUGUCCGGAUGCUGAAGCCCUGGUGGCUUUUAAGCAUAAUAUCCGUGACAAGUGGCUCCCCCGACACCUCGACCAGGAAAAACCCAAGUCCAUGGCAGCUCUCACGACAGUAAUGACCCGCUUUUGCGCGGGCGAGGACAACUGGUUGGCUCGUAGUAGCACCACACCACAUUAUGGCACUUCGGACGUUUGUGACAAUAACGGCAAGCCACGACACAACAGACACAAGCGACGGAACAAUGGUGACAACACCGAAGACACGACAGUCAACGCCAGAUUCAGCGGAUCCAAAUCCGGUCAGCGGAAGAAGCCGUUCAAAAGAAACAAUCAGGGACCGUCUAGUAUGGACCGCAUACUGGAGCGCUCGUGCCAAAUUCAUGGCACCCCAGACAAGCCAGCCAACCACACCAACAGAGACUGCUGGGUGUUGAAAUAGGCCGGCAAAAUAAACACCGAAAACAAGGACAAGGGGAUGCAUAGCAAUGAUGACGAAGAGCCCCGGCUUCCGAACACGGGGGGACAGAAGAAAUCCCCCCCCCAGGUGAAAACGGUCAACAUGAUCUACGCCACUCACAUUCCCAAGCGGGAAUGGAAGCGAGCACUAUGUGACGUCUAUGCGAUGGAGCUAGUCGCCCACAAAUUCAACCCAUGGUCAGCUUGUUCGAUCACCUUUGAUCGUAGGGAUCACCCUACUAGCAUCCGUCACGCGGCUCAGCCGCAUUGGUCCUAGACCCAAUCAUCGACGGAUUCUACCUCACGCAAGUCCUUAUGGACAGCGGCAGCAGCCUGAACCUGCUUUAUCAGGAUACAAUGUGCAAAAUGGGCAUCGACCCUUCAAGGAUCAAGCCCACCAAAACCACCUUUAAAGGUGUAAUUCCUGGAGUAGAGGCUCGUUGUACGGGCUCUAUAACAUUGGAAGUGGUCUUCGGAUCUCCGGAUAACUUCCGAAGCGAAGAGUUAAUCUUCGAUAUCAUCCCUUUCCGUAGUGGUUACCACGCACUGCUCGGACGAACCGCAUUUGCUAGAUUCAAUGCGGUACCACAUUAUGCAUACCUCAAGCUCAAGAUGCCAGGACCACACGGGGUCAUAACAGUCAACGGAAAUAUGGACCGCUCUCUCCAUACAGAAGAGCAUACUGCAGCCCUCGCGGUGGAAGUACAAUGCGGCCUCCUCCGACAAACCACCAAUCCGGCGACGACAACCUUGAGCACCGUCAAGCGAGUCCGGAGCACCCCGCAACAGGAUCUCCAGGCAUGCAAAGAGUGCGACUAGCAGUCCCGCCUCCUCUUAAGACCCAUCAAAGCAGCAUUCGUGCCACACGUACACAAUUACGCACUCAAAAUACCAUGGGCACAGGCGGAGGCGCAGCAGUGACUCAGUCAACAGUGCGGUAUCACCGCAACAUACCUUCAUAACCUUCCCUUUUUUAUCUUUCAGGAUAUUGCUUUAGGACAGCCUCUUCAGAAGAGCCGGAUUGUCGGACUUACAUAGGAGAGAAAACCAAGGAGGCAACAGGCUUUAUGCACAAAAGGAAAUACCCAGGUGGAAUCUGUUCACGAUCGUUAUACCUGUUUUAUAUACCUACAUGCAGCGUGCCCUUGGAUAGGACAUGUUAAAUAGUCCUAUUUACUUCCGCUUAAAUGCACCCAUUGUAAACAUACGCUUAAACUUAUUAUUCAUCAAUGGGAGAUCAUACACAGCGUCAACUUAUUAUUAUCAUUUGAGCAUUUUUUUUCUUACAAAUGUUUAUUUAAUAUUGCUUCCGUACACCUUGGUACGAUCAAUUUUGCCAAGGGCUUCUUAUGGAACCUCAUAAUACGACAAAACAAGUCCAAAAACUUUCAACAGUGCGACACCCUGAACUUAUAGCACUAUAUGCAUCAGCUCCGAAUCACGUCUUGGGUCAAUAGUUGGGUUUGCCCGGCUCCCUUGUUUUGGUACCUUAUGUUCCGUUAUAUCGGCUAAGGUAGCGCAGGGAGAACUACUGGGAUUGUGUCCCGGUUCUUCCGGACGAGCACCUCAGUAGAGAAAGCCAAAAACUGACCGGCAUGAUGCGGCGAGAGCUGGUCGCUGUUCGAGAGGUCUUAAAAUCCUUAAAGAUUUUUCCACUUUAGGCGAGGAAUCGGCUUCGUCCGAUCUAGGCGUAUAUAGCGCCCCAAUUCGGUCUUCUGAAUCCUAGGGGCUUCGCCGAAAUUUAAAAUUGUAGACUUCUAUGGCUAAGUGGAAGUAUAAAUCCGCAUAGUCCGAUUGCCUUGUUCGCUAUGCCGGAUACCUCCUUAAGGGACCAAAAAUUUGGAUAAAGAGUAUCCGAGGUUUUCCAAGAACACCCCGGUACUAGUUACGUGGGGGCGAAAGCCGACAACUGGCCUACUUUCAGAAUUUUAUAAACAGCCGCACAAAAGGUAAUAUUUUAAAUCAUACAUAACUUUGUCUUAAUAUUACAACAACGACAGAGGUACAUUUACUCAAGGAUUGUGUCCUUGGUACAUUCAUCGGCCACGAGACGAGCGCCCUUCAUAAUGCCAUCGUAAUACUUCUUGGGAUAGCGAUGUGUCUUGCCCUCCGGCGGCCCGUCCUUCACCAGCUUCUCUGCACCCAGCUUGCCCCAAUGCACCUUCGCGCGGGCAAAGGCCCGGCGGGCCCCCUCAAUGCAAACGGAUCGCUUGAUAACUUCAAGCCGCGGACAGGCAUUCACCAUCCGCUUUGUGACGCCCGGGUAAUUAAGCUACAGUGCUCCUCUGCUAAUGAUGCCACGUCACCUCAAUUAUAGUUGCUAAUCUCGAGUUAGUUCGAAACCGAUUCGAAUUCAAAAUCAGGCAAACGAUAAAAGUUUUCAAAUAUUAAAACUAAAAUGUUCGGAGUGAACCAAAUAUUGCAUAGAUAAUUAUGAUGGAAAAACCGUACAUUUAUAAAAUGUUUAAAUACUAUGAGAUAAAUAAAAUAGUAGCAAAGAGAUUAAUUAAAUACCUUUUAUAAUUAAUAAAAUGUCAAACUAAGUUAUUUGGGGUCUAGAUUUAUUUUUGUGACUAUGGACUAAGUUGAAAUACUAAGUGUACAUUUUACUAAAUUAAAAUGCAACUAAAAUAAAGAAAGAAAGAAAUAAUAAAAGAAAACAGAAAACAAACAAAAGAAAAAAAAAGGAAAAGAGAGAAAGGCCCCCCCACUGGGCUUCGGCCCAGCAGGCCGGCCCGUUCGGCCACCGGCCCAACCGGCCACACCCCUCACUCCCAUAACCCCCACCCCUGACAAACCCUAACCCAACCACCCGCAUUCCACCCCCCCACGGCGUUCCCACCCCCCUCCUGAUCCAGAUUGGAUCGGGGACGAAACCCCCACUCCCCCUCGCNNNNNNNNNNNNNNNNNNNNNNNNNNNNNNNNNNNNNNNNNNNNNNNNNNNNNNNNNNNNNNNNNNNNNNNNNNNNNNNNNNNNNNNNNNNNNNNNNNNNNNNNNNNNNNNNNNNNNNNNNNNNNNNNNNNNNNNNNNNNNNNNNNNNNNNNNNNNNNNNNNNNNNNNNNNNNNNNNNNNNNNNNNNNNNNNNNNNNNNNNNNNNNNNNNNNNNNNNNNNNNNNNNNNNNNNNNNNNNNNNNNNNNNNNNNNNNNNNNNNNNNNNNNNNNNNNNNNNNNNNNNNNNNNNNNNNNNNNNNNNNNNNNNNNNNNNNNNNNNNNNNNNNNNNNNNNNNNNNNNNNNNNNNNNNNNNNNNNNNNNNNNNNNNNNNNNNNNNNNNNNNNNNNNNNNNNNNNNNNNNNNNNNNNNNNNNNNNNNNNNNNNNNNNNNNNNNNNNNNNNNNNNNNNNNNNNNNNNNNNNNNNNNNNNNNNNNNNNNNNNNNNNNNNNNNNNNNNNNNNNNNNNNNNNNNNNNNNNNNNNNNNNNNNNNNNNNNNNNNNNNNNNNNNNNNNNNNNNNNNNNNNNNNNNNNNNNNNNNNNNCCCGCGCCCCUCGGGCAUUCGCCGUUCGGGCGACACUCGGCGCCCGCGCCCGUGCCCGUAACCACCGUCCAGCGCCCGUUAAGGCCCUGGGCCACUUACAUGCGGGCCCCAGCGCCCAGAACGUUUUAUAAAAUAAAAGAGUUAAAAUAAUAAUAAUAAUAAUAAUAAAAAUAUUAAAUAAUAAAAAUAAUUAAUUAAUUAAUUAACUUAAUUAAUUCUGAUUAACUUAGCUAAUUAAGAUUAAUUAACCUAAUCACUAAUUAACCUAAUUAACUGUUAAGUAAAUAAUUAAUCUAAUUAAUCCUGGUUAAUUAACCUAAUAACUAAUUAACCUAAUUAACUACUGUUAAUUAAACUUAAUUAGGUUAAUUAGUUAACAGUGUAUGACGAACGGGACCCACCUGUCAGGGUUGACUCAGUCAACCCCUGUUGACUGCUGAUGUCAGCAUGACAUCAUGCUGACGUCAUAAAUACAUUUUUCGAAUUAGUUAAAUAAAUAAUUAAAUUCCAGAAAUUAAUAAAAUCUUUAGAAAAUCAUAUCUUUUAAUCCGUAACUCGGAUUUAAAUAUUUUCAACAUGAAAGUUGUUCAGAACGACGAGACGAAUCCGGAUACGCGGUCCGUUCGUCCGCCACACACCCCUAACCUAUCGAACCCGCAAAUUUUCCCCUCCGGUUCCUCUGCCCGAAAACACGAAACACCGGGAAUACUUUCCCGGGGGUUUUCCCCCCCUUCACCGGUAUCACCUACUACCGCGUUAGGGCACACCGAACACCGCGUAUUGCCUUGAUAUAUUUUGUGGUGCUUUGUUUGCUCCGUAUUCAUUAUUUCUUCCCCCUCUUCUCUCCGGUAGACUACGAGACCGACGCUGCUGCUGACCAGUUCGACUACGGAGUUGACGACCCCUCUCUCUUGCCAGAGCAACCAGGCAAGCCCCCCCCCCCUUGAUCACCAGAUAUCGCCUAUUCUAUUCUAUACUGCUUGCAUUAGAGUAGUGUAGCAUGUUACUGCUUUCCGUUAAUCCUAUUCUGAUGCAUAGCCUGUCAUUGCUGCUACAGUCAUUGAUACAUUACCCACAAUCCUAAAUGCUUAGUAUAGGAUGCUAGUGUUCCAUCAGUGACCCUACACUCUUGUCCGUCUGCCAUGCUAUACUACUGGGUUGUGAUCACUUCGGGAGGUGAUCACGGGCAUAUACUAUAUACUUUACACUGUUACAUUACCUGUGAUACUGUUCGGAGUUGGGGGCUGAAAGGACAGGUGGCUCCAUCCAGGUAGAGGUGGGCCUGGGUUCCCGACGGCCCUCGACUGUUACUUUGUGGUGGAGCGACAGGGCAGGUUGAGACCACCUAGGAGACAGGUGGGCCUGGCCCUGUUCGGCGUUCGCGGAUACUUAACACGCUUAACGAGAUCUUGGUAUUUGAUCUGAGUCGUCUACAAGCCUAUACGCACUAACCAUCUACGUGGGAGUAGUUAUGGGUAUCCCGACGUCGUGGUAUCAGCCGAAGCACUUCAGACGUCAGCGACGGAGCGGCGCGCGCCGGAUUGGAACGUAAGCCUGCUCUUGUAUUAAGGGGGCUAGUUCCGCUUUCGGCCGCGUACGCAACGUGCAGGUGUGCUAUGGGCGAUGGGCCCAGACCCCUGUGCGCUUAGGUUUAGACCGGCGUGCUGGCCUCUCUGUUUUGCCUAGGUGGGGCUGCGACGUGUUGAUCUUCCGCGGCCGGGCAUGACCCAGGAAAGUGUGUCCGGCCAAAUGAGAUCGAGCGUGUUGGGGAAUGUGGUGCACCCCUGCAGGGAAGUUAAUCUAUUCGAAUAGCCGUGAUCUUCGGUAACAGGACGACUUGGAGUUGUACCUUGACCUUAUGACAACUAGAACCGGAUACUUAAUAAAACACACCCUUCCAAGUGCCAGAUACAACCGGUGGUCGCUCUCCCUCAGGGAUACGAGGGGAGGAUCGCCGGGUAGGAUUAUGCUAUGAGAUGCUAUUUGGAGAUGCUACUUGGAGGACUUCAAUCUACUCUCUUCUACGUGCUACGAGGCGGAGGCUGCCAGAAGCGUAGUCUUCGACAGGAUUAGCUAUCCCCCUCUUAUUCUGGCAUUCUGCAGUUCAGUCCACUGAUAUGGCCUCCUUACACAUAUACCCAUGCAUGUGUAGUGUAGUUCCUUGCUUGCGAGUACUUUGGAUGAGUACUCACGGUUGCUUUCUCCCCCCUUUUUCCCCCUUUCCUUUCUUUCUGGUUGUCGCAACCAGAUGCUGGAGCCCUGGAGCCAGACGCCACCGUCGACGACGACCCCUACUACACUGGAGGUGCCUACUACUACGUGCUGCCCGCUGAUGACGACCGGGAGUAGUUUAGGAGGAUCCCAGGCAGGAGGCCUGCGCCUCUUUCGAUCUGUAACCCAGUUUGUGCUAGCCUUCUUAAGGCAAACUUGUUCAACUUAUGUCUGUACUCAGAUAUUGUUGCUUCCGCUGACUCGUCUAUGAUCGAGUACUUGUAUUCGAGCCCUCGAGGCCCCUGGCUUGUAUUAUGAUGCUUGUAUGACUUAUUUAUGUUUAGAGUUGUGUUGUGAUAUCUUCCCGUGAGUCCCUGAUCUUGAUCGUACACACUUGCGUGCAUGAUUAGUGUACGAUUAAAUCGGGGGCGUCACAAGUUGGUAUCAGAGCCGACUGCCUGUAGGAAUCCCCCUUCCACACUCCUUGGCCGAAGUCGAGUCUAGACAUUACAAAAACUUUUACUAACUUGGCUGUGUGCCUUACGGGCCCACGUCGCCAUUGGGUGGUAUUAGGAUCUUUUACUCCUCGACCUUUACUCUGGGACUCUGACAUCUCUUCUAUUCGGGUUAAAUGAAUUUUACUAAAUCUAACAUUAGGAUCUCGUUAUCAUUUUCACCCGGAGAGCCCCUUAUUAUUUAUGAUCGUCUGCUGCACCAGAAGAUUCCGAAGAUACUCUACGAUGUGCUCUCGAAACUAUGUGCCAUCGCUUUUGCAAUUCACUUCCAUCGAUAAAUCCCUCUGGAUAACUAUUUACACCUAUCGUUCAUAUUGUCAUCCCCAGUUGCUCUUGUUAUUACAAGAUGUCCUGAAAUACUCUUCGAUAUUCCGAGAAUUCUUUACGCUUACUGCCCUGCAGUUCCUUGCUGCAUGAAUACCCCUACGAAUAAUUACUCGCGCUUGCCGAGUAUCCGCUCAUCCCCAGUUGUUCAGGUGUUUCACAAAAAUCUUCAAAAUAAUAUUCGAUCUUCCAAAAAUCCUCUGGAGCCUUUGGCUCUUGAAAUUCUUGCUUGCUUGCAUUAUGGUUAAUCCCAUAAGUCUCGUAGUCCUAAUGACAUUCCUUGUCAUUAUCAUUUUGAGUCUGUUGACUCAAUAUGUUUGCGAAUACACGCAAUCAUCAUUGAUCCUUAUAAAUUACUUUUCCGGCCAAGCUGCCAUUCUUUUAACUGGAACUGGUUCCCGACCAAUCCAAUUGUCUUUGAUUGUACCCUAAGUCUAUUGAACUUAUCCAUCCUUGGUCAGAGCGUCUACUUCUGAUCCUUUGUUUUGGAAAUCAUAAUUCCUUUGUUAUCUAAGCAUCAAAUUAUUCAGUUGUCCUAUAAUAUGAUGCCUGUGCAUUUUUUUCCUCUGAUUGAGUACCGAUACUCACAUCAGCUCCGUUGUGGAUCGCCCGAUCCAUUGUUGGAUUUUACCUGACAACGCCCUUCAUAUUCAAUAACCUUGUGAGCCUUUGCUCGGAUACGUAAUGCCUUUGGUAAAUUGUAUCCUCUGCUUUGUCAACCAUGCUCUACCUCCGAGCUUGAGUUAUUUACCCCUGAAGUUGAUGGUAUACGUUCCUAAGAUGCCACGAUGGGUUGAACGUAUACCUUCCUUAAUUUGUGUGAACCCAAGAGUUUUCAUGGGUCAUAACGUUCCGGUAUUCCGCAAGUUAAACUUUCAAACUCUAAACAUUCUUAACUUAGAGUAGUAAAUGGGAAGUUGUGUAUUGGAGAAGUGGGAGUCGACCUUGAACCUUGCGUUCAUGCCCAUGGACACGAUGCUAAUCUUAUCAUGGGUGCUCCUCUUAAACCCUCUUUGGUAUAAGUUUUUAUAUCUGGGAUUCGGCCUUUUGCAAUCGUGGUUCCGGCCAUGUUCUCCUUUUUACUACCGUUUCUUGGACAAGUUGAAGUACUUGCCUUCUGCAGAUCAUUGCACCUGUCCAACCUUUACUUUGCUCUACUGUUGAGUAUUAAACUCUGGUAUCUCAAGAAUAUCAUGGAACUGCAUAACUUAUUAUGUGUUCUUCAUCAACUAUUAAUUCUCACUGAUUCCAAUUUUCUCGGGUUCUGGGUUGUUGUCAAUCGAGAACACCGAUUCCACAUUUCGGUUCGAUAACCCUAAGUAAUCUUCGUUGCUUAUGAGUUUAAUAUUCCUUCCCAUCAUUCCUAGCCUGUUUGGCUAUAUCAUUGUCGUGUCGAUUCUAACUGUGCUACCUGGUCCUUAUUCUCGGAGCACCAAAUUUCGACGAUGAACUAACCUUACGUCGAUCCUCAUCGUCAUAUCAUUUCGCCUUGAACAACAAGCUUGGUUUCGAGUUUGUGUCGUACCCUUGGUUCCAAUAACCUUUCACUUCAUCAUUACUUGACUUGAUGUCGUUACCGAUCGAUUACAUCUUCAUGAACUCUCGCGACAAAGGUGUCGUGAUCAUCAACAUUCUAAGCUCAUCCAGGAUAUCAAUUGAAUUCAAGAUGAGAAAUAACAUCCUUGCCCUCGAUGAAUUGUAUUAUCGUCGACCACUUUAUUGCCUUCCCACCAACACAAGCUUGUUCAUGUUUGGUGUUAUACCUUGAGUUCCUUGCUAUCCAGCAAUUGUUCUUCUUUACCUUGGAGUAUUACCAUCCUUUAUGUCAAGAAUGUUCUGAGAUUUGUUCCACCUCUUGAGAAUUCUUGGCAUAGAAAUACUUCUCACCAUCACCAUUCUUUAUUGGUCCCCGUGUUAAUUCCAACAAGUGAACGGUGUUGUUUGGAUUCUUUCCUUCUAGCAACCCUAUUUUUUUUGAAGUUAAUGGUCGAAAGUUCAUUCUUAGACUAUUGACUAGUGAAUCACCAUUCUGACAUUGGUCGUGCAACCCAACCCAUAUUUCGGGCGCACCUUUCAACCAAUGUUUAAUUGUGUAUGUUUUCCUCGAGCAUACUUCCUUAUAUCAUUUGAUCUGACCAAUGUUAUCUCCUUGUUCACUUAAUUGUGGAGAUCCAUCUUUUGGAUACCUCAUUGAAUUAUCGUUGAGUCCAUCAGCCACCUCAUCAUCCUCUCCUUGGGUUAAUGAUGAACUCUUGUUAACGGAAAUCACUUCUUAGUUCAUUUCCCGAGAAUCUUACAGUGUCAUCCCGUCAAUUUGUGUUGCGCCUUUUCUUCUCGGACAUCCUGAGUCUGAGGUACCAUGACACCAAUUGGACCUGAAUCUCGGUCAGAUAUGAUGGUUGGGACAACUUUCCAGGAUUUAUGUUGUUGGUCCUUUGAUGACCCGGUAACAUGAUGUCAUGCCUAGCACCCCCCCCCCCCGGCUGGAGGACCUAUCAUUAUAGAUUCCUUUUCAGCAAGGUUAUCCAUUCACCCAUGAGGAAAUUGUAAGACUUAUUCUACAAGUUGUUCCUGAUGGAUCCUUCGUGUUUCCAGAGUCUGAUCUUCACAUGAAGACCAUGUCAAUGCUAUCUCGAAGCAUGUCUACUCCAAUUUUCAACAAGAACAUUUGAAACCCAAUGUUAAAUGUUUCCUGCCCAAUUAUCCAAACACCGUUGAAUGGGUAAUGUCAUAAAAAUUUCUCUUCCCUUUCCUAAAGGGGUUUUCUACGCUAUAUCCCGUCAUGACUAUCAUGCGUUGCUUGCCCUUGGGAAGGAUAUACCCCCUAAUAUAUGUGUUUAAAACACAUUUUCCUUUUCAUUGUUUUGUUUAAUCUGAUAAUCUUAUUUUCCUUUCCAUUGGUUGGUUUAACCUUUCUUGAGGUCUAUAUAAUCUAAGCAGUAUUAUUCUCCUGCUUAUGUAAACACCUCGGUGUACAACUCUGUCAGUAAGGCCCUGUUGAAAUUGUCGAUAGCAUUCCGGUCACCACCGAUGGAUGAGAACUCUGCCUAUUGGUCCGCCUCGUUCAACGAGCAGGAAAAUGGUUCUCUUCGUCCCUCGCCCCUGGUACCGACAUUAUGUCGACAUAACUGACAGGCUACCCUCUGACAUGCCUUGCUAUUGUGACCGUGCGAGAUGUCACCGCUCCUAUUUUUAACCCACAUGGUGGGCCCAUAACCCACAGUUCCACAGGAUCGAAACCUGACUCUCCUGUACACCCCCUGUUCCCAAAGUUAUUCCUCACGCGUGGCCUCAUGUGUAAUUCACGAGCCACCUUCUGAUGAGAUCAUCAAUUUGGUAUCAGACGCAAUACUUAUUCCCAUUGCUCUGAACCCCUUUCACACUUCGAUUCAGGCAACGAACGAUUACCUAUGCGCUUGAAACUUCUAUUUUGCGCCUUCUUGCUAUGCUCUCGAUAUUGUCUUAAAUUUCAAUUCGAGAGUUACUUUCCGCCACCUUCCUCGUUGUUGCCUACCAGAUAAUCUACCCUGCAGAGAUCCAUUCUUCGGUAUACCCCCUUAAUCUUUCGUUAGUACGAUGAAAUUUCCGAAGAAAGGAUGAUGACUUCAUCAUGAUGACCUGAAGCAGAGAAAGGAAGACAUCAAUAUAAUGGGUCGACCUCUUCGAGAAGAGCAACCAAGACUGAGAAGAUCCGUUAGCAUUUCGUAAUUAGAUCCCUCCCCCCUUACUCCUGCUCCUAAAUCUCGGGACGAGAUUUCUUGUAGUGGAGGAGAAUUGUGACGCCCGGGUAAUUAAGCUACAGUGCUCCUCUGCUAAUGAUGCCACGUCACCUCAAUUAUAGUUGCUAAUCUCGAGUUAGUUCGAAACCGAUUCAAAUUCAAAAUCAGGCAAACGAUAAAAGUUUUCAAAUAUUAAAACUAAAAUGUUCGGAGUGAACCAAAUAUUGCAUAGAUAAUUAUGAUGGGAAAACCGUACAUUUAUAAAAUGUUUAAAUACUAUGAGAUAAAUAAAAUAGUAGCAAAGAGAUUAAUUAAAUACCUUUUAUAAUUAAUAAAAUGUCAAACUAAGUUAUUUGGGGUCUGGAUUUAUUUUUGUGACUAUGGACUAAGUUGAAAUACUAAGUGUACAUUUUACUAAAUUAAAAUGCAACUAAAAUAAAGAAAGAAAGAAAUAAUAAAAGAAAACAGAAAACAAACAAAAGAAAAAAAAAGGAAAAGAGAGAAAGGCCCCCCCACUGGGCUUCGGCCCAGCAGGCCGGCCCGUUCGGCCACCGGCCCAACCGGCCACACCCCUCACUCCCAUAACCCCCACCCCUGACAAACCCUAACCCAACCACCCGCAUUCCACCCCCCCACGGCGUUCCCACCCCCCUCCUGAUCCAGAUUGGAUCGGGGACGAAACCCCCACUCCCCCUCGCNNNNNNNNNNNNNNNNNNNNNNNNNNNNNNNNNNNNNNNNNNNNNNNNNNNNNNNNNNNNNNNNNNNNNNNNNNNNNNNNNNNNNNNNNNNNNNNNNNNNNNNNNNNNNNNNNNNNNNNNNNNNNNNNNNNNNNNNNNNNNNNNNNNNNNNNNNNNNNNNNNNNNNNNNNNNNNNNNNNNNNNNNNNNNNNNNNNNNNNNNNNNNNNNNNNNNNNNNNNNNNNNNNNNNNNNNNNNNNNNNNNNNNNNNNNNNNNNNNNNNNNNNNNNNNNNNNNNNNNNNNNNNNNNNNNNNNNNNNNNNNNNNNNNNNNNNNNNNNNNNNNNNNNNNNNNNNNNNNNNNNNNNNNNNNNNNNNNNNNNNNNNNNNNNNNNNNNNNNNNNNNNNNNNNNNNNNNNNNNNNNNNNNNNNNNNNNNNNNNNNNNNNNNNNNNNNNNNNNNNNNNNNNNNNNNNNNNNNNNNNNNNNNNNNNNNNNNNNNNNNNNNNNNNNNNNNNNNNNNNNNNNNNNNNNNNNNNNNNNNNNNNNNNNNNNNNNNNNNNNNNNNNNNNNNNNNNNNNNNNNNNNNNNNNNNNNNNNNNNNNNNNNNNNNNNNNNNNNNNNNNNNNNNNNNNNNNNNNNNNNNNNNNNNNNNNNNNNNNNNNNNNNNNNNNNNNNNNNNNNNNNNNNNNNNNNNNNNNNNNNNNNNNNNNNNNNNNNNNNNNNNNNNNNNNNNNNNNNNNNNNNNNCCUCCCACCGGCGCCCCAUCACCGGCCGGCCGCCCUGGCGCGCACCGGCGCCUGGCCGCAUCGUGCGACCCGCGCCCCUCGGGCAUUCGCCAUUCGGGCGACACUCGGCGCCCGCGCCCGUGCCCGUAACCACCGUCCAGCGCCCGUUAAGGCCCUGGGCCACUUACAUGCGGGCCCCAGCGCCCAGAACGUUUUAUAAAAUAAAAGAGUUAAAAUAAUAAUAAUAAUAAUAAUAAUAAUAAACAAUAUUAAAUAAUAAAAAUAAUUAAUUAAUUAAUUAACUUAAUUAAUUCUGAUUAACUUAGCUAAUUAAGAUUAAUUAACCUAAUCACUAAUUAACCUAAUCACUAAUUAACCUAAUUAACUGUUAAGUAAAUAAUUAAUCUAAUUAAUCCUGGUUAAUUAACCUAAUAACUAAUUAACCUAAUUAACUACUGUUAAUUAAACUUAAUUAGGUUAAUUAGUUAACAGUGUAUGACGAACGGGACCCGCCUGUCAGGGUUGACUCAGUCAACCCCUGUUGACUGCUGACGUCAGCAUGACAUCAUGCUGACGUCAUAAAUACAUUUUUUCGAAUUAAUUAAAUAAAUAAUUAAAUUCCAGAAAUUAAUAAAAUCUUUAGAAAAUCAUAUCUUUUAAUCCGUAACUCGGAUUUAAAUAUUUUCAUCAUGAAAGUUGUUCAGAACGACGAGACGAAUCCGGAUACGCGGUCCGUUCGUCCGCCACACACCCCUAACCUAUCGAACCCACAACUUUUCCCCUCCGGUUCCUCUGCCCGAAAACACGAAACACCGGGAAUACUUUCCCGGGGGUUUUCCCCCCCUUCACCGGUAUCACCUACUACCGCGUUAGGGCACACCGAACACCGCGUAUUGCCUUGAUAUAUUUUGUGGUGCUUUGUUUGCUCCGUAUUCAUUAUUUCUUCCCCCUCUUCUCUCCGGUAGACUACGAGACCGACGCUGCUGCUGACCAGUUCGACUACGGAGUUGACGACCCCUCUCUCUUGCCAGAGCAACCAGGCAAGCCCCCCCCCCCUUGAUCACCAGAUAUCGCCUAUUCUAUUCUAUACUGCUUGCAUUAGAGUAGUGUAGCAUGUUACUGCUUUCCGUUAAUCCUAUUCUGAUGCAUAGCCUGUCAUUGCUGCUACAGUCAUUGAUACAUUACCCGCAAUCCUAAAUGCUUAGUAUAGGAUGCUAGUGUUCCAUCAGUGACCCUACACUCUUGUCCGUCUGCCAUGCUAUACUACUGGGCUGUGAUCACUUCGGGAGGUGAUCACGGGCAUAUACUAUAUACUUUACACUGUUACAUUACCUGUGAUACUGUUCGGAGUUGGGGGCUGAAAGGACAGGUGGCUCCAUCCCGGUAGAGGUGGGCCUGGGUUCCCGACGGCCCUCGACUGUUACUUUGUGGCGGAGCGACAGGGCAGGUUGAGACCACCUAGGAGACAGGUGGGCCUGGCACUGUUCGGCGUUCGCGGAUACUUAACACGCUUAACGAGAUCUUGGUAUUUGAUCUGAGUCGGCUACGAGCCUAUACGCACUAACCAUCUACGUGGGAGUAGUUAUGGGUAUCCCGACGUCGUGGUAUCAGCCGAAGCACUUCAGACGUCAGCGACGGAGCGGCGCGCGCCGGAUUGGAACGUAAGCCUGCUCUUGUAUUAAGGGGGCUAGUUCCGCUUUCGGCCGCGUACGCAACGUGUAGGUGUGCUAUGGGCGAUGGGCCCAGACCCCUGUGCGCUUAGGUUUAGACCGGCGUGCUGGCCUCUCUGUUUUGCCUAGGUGGGGCUGCGACGUGUUGAUCUUCCGCGGCCGGGCAUGACCCAGGAAAGUGUGUCCGGCCAAAUGAGAUCGAGCGUGUUGGGGAAUGUGGUGCACCCCUGCAGGGAAGUUAAUCUAUUCGAAUAGCCGUGAUCUUCGGUAACAGGACGACUUGGAGUUGUACCUUGACCUUAUGACAACUAGAACCGGAUACUUAAUAAAACACACCCUUCCAAGUGCCAGAUACAACCGGUGGUCGCUCUCCCUCAGGGAUACGAGGGGAGGAUCGCCGGGUAGGAUUAUGCUAUAAGAUGCUACUUGGAGAUGCUACUUGGAGGACUUCAAUCUACUCUCUUCUACGUGCUACGAGGCGGAGGCUGCCAGAAGCGUAGUCUUCGACAGGAUUAGCUAUCCCCCUCUUAUUCUGGCAUUCUGCAGUUCAGUCCACUGAUAUGGCCUCCUUACACAUAUACCCAUGCAUAUGUAGUGUAGUUCCUUGCUUGCGAGUACUUUGGAUGAGUACUCACGGUUGCUUUCUCCCCCCUUUUUCCCCCUUUCCUUUCUUUCUGGUUGUCGCAACCAGAUGCUGGAGCCCUGGAGCCAGACGCCACCGUCGACGACGACCCCUACUACACUGGAGGUGCCUACUACUACGUGCUGCCCGCUGAUGACGACCGGGAGUAGUUUAGGAGGAUCCCAGGCAGGAGGCCUGCGCCUCUUUCGAUCUGUAACCCAGUUUGUGCUAGCCUUCUUAAGGCAAACUUGUUCAACUUAUGUCUGUACUCAGAUAUUGUUGCUUCCGCUGACUCGUCUAUGAUCGAGUACUUGUAUUCGAGCCCUCGAGGCCCCUGGCUUGUAUUAUGAUGCUUGUAUGACUUAUUUAUGUUUAGAGUUGUGUUGUGAUAUCUUCCCGUGAGUCCCUGAUCUUGAUCGUACACAUUUGCGUGCAUGAUUAGUGUACGAUUAAAUCGGGGGCGUCACACGCUUGAUCAGGCCGAAUUAGCUAGUGGGCAGGGGCUCACUAGGCCAUAUCCGGACUAUGAAAUCUUUCAUAGCCACUUCGGCCGCCCUGUGGAGUUCGACCAACUGUUUCAGUUGGUCAUUCAGAGGCAUUGGGUGUUUGGGCCCAGCAUACUAGGACCAGAACAGCUUCUCCGUUGAGCUCCCCUCCUUGGCACGGUAGAACUCCGCGGCAUCUGAUACGCUGCGUGGUGGAUCUGCGAAUGCCCCUGGAGAGCUCCGAAUUCGGGUAAGUAAAAGAAAUGCCUCCUCCACAUGUUUGCUUUGCAUAAAGAAUGUCUUACCCGCCGCUAUCUUCUUGGCCGCCUGGAUUUCCUGCUGUGCCUUGUCGGCUUCGGCCUUGCCGUCUUUCAUACUCGCAAGGGCCUUCGCAAGCUCGGCCUCUUUCAUCUUAAGAUCAUGCUCCAUGGACUCGAACUUCUUGCCGAGCUCCUGGAGCUCUUGCUGUACCUCGCCCACUCUAGCAUCUUGCUUUUCGCGCUCCUUGGAUUCCAAGGCCGCCUUGUCUUCGGCCUCGGACAACGCUUUCUUCAGAGACGCCACUUUGAUGGUGGCCCCUGUUACAUAGUCACGACACUUCAUCGUUAGAAUAACCAUUUUUAUCUAUCCUUUAUUACAUGAGAGCAGGGAAUCACUCACCUUUGUUCUCUUCGAGCUGCCUCUUCGUGAGGUCGAGCUCCCCCUGCGCCUGCUCCAGGUCCCGCUUUAGUCCGGCGACCUUGGCUGUGCAGACAGCAGUGGCAAGUAGCACAGCCUGCUUAUUCAUAUGCACACUUAUUAUUAGACUCCUACAGAUUAUAAUUGACCCUCCGUUUGGCUUUUCUUUCCAAACACCAAACAGAGUAUCAGGGGCUACUACCUAUCGGGUGGUAAUUUCACACAUUUUUAUUACUUACCUCAAAGCCUGUCAGGAGGCUGGUGCAAGCUUCGGUUAGUCCGCUCUUGGCGGACAAAACCUUCUGAAUCACCGCACUCAUAAGAGUACGGUGCUCUUCAUCCAUGGAAGCGCCGCGAAGCGCUUCCAGCAGAUAAUCCGACGCCUCGGGCAUAACGGAAGUCCUCGGCACGGACGGCUCGCCCUCCCUAACGAGGGGCUGCCCGCAUGAGUCCGGAACCGUUGGAGGUUCCGGAAUAGUGUUCGGCUGAGAGCCCGGCCUACUGCGGCUCUCAUCGACACGAUCCGCGGGGAUCUUGAACCCCGCGUGUCUGACAUCUAGAAUUCCGCCUUGGGGCGUCUCCAGAGUCACCUCCCCCCACUCUGGGAGCCUUCGGGACAACACCUCCAUGUCAUCCGCGGGCUGAGGAGUAGUGGCCGUCGGGAGCGAGUUCAUCGCUGAAUUGCUUAGGGACCCAUCCGAAGACGAUACCUCGGGAUGAACCCUGGCCGGACUGCAUAUAUGUUCGGCGUUAUGAAAAGACUAUGAAGUGAAAUCACGAUAGAGUGCGGAUACUUACGAUCGCGCUAGGGGCUUCCCCCUGGGCAGCCACCCCUCCUCGCUAUGGGCGGCCGUGGCGGAGUAGUUCGGAAGGGACACCUUUCCCUUCUUGGACGUCCCAGCCUCCUCCUCCGGAGCGGCUUUCCUCUUUUUCUCCUCCCCGGUGCGGGGAGGUAGAGUUUCUUCUUGCUUCCCCCCGCCUCCGUGGGAGGAAUCUGCCUCGUCGUCGUCGGACGACGAGGGUAUGAUGGCCUUGCGCUGGGGGCCUUUCCCGGCCCCCUGGUCCGCCUUCUCAGGCCCCUCAUCCUCUCCGGAUGGGGUGGCCCCUUCUUCUUCUUCCUCCCCUUCAGGGGAGGAGUGUGCCUUGUCGUCUUCGGACAAGGCUUCCGGUACAACCUUACGCCGGAGACCCUUCCUGGUCCCCGGGGCCUUCUUUUCGGCCUUCUUCUCUGGUACCUUGUAGGGCACCGGGAAUAGCAUCUCCGUCAGGAGAGCAUCAGCUGGGCCUUCUGGCAGCGGAGCCGGACAGUCAAUCCUCUCCGCUGUCUCCACAUAAUCCUGAUUAAAUAUGCACAAUUACUUAAGACUCCCCCACGAAUAUAUUGGGAAGAGCUGAAUCUGGUGGUAGUCAGAAAACUCACGGGACGAGGAGGCCGCGCGGCGUGAAGUCCACGGUCCUCGGAUGUGGGAGGAGGUACUUCGAAGGCCUUGAACAGCGCCUUCCAUGCGUCUUUAUGUGUCAUGCCGUAGAGCCUCCGAAGCGUCUGGUGUUCGGCCGGGACGAACUCCCACAGAUUAAAUGCCCGCCUUUGGCACGGAAGAAUCCGCCGAACGAGCAUGACCUGGAUCACGUUGACAAGCUUGAUGUUCUUGUCCUUCAUGCUCUUGAUGCAGUUUUGGAGUCCGGUCAGUGCUACCUCUUGAACACUGCGUUGGAUUUCCCCGAAGAGGAGAGGAUGAUGCAGCAAAGUAGCGUAAGUAUUUCCCUCGGUUUUUGAGAACCAAGGUAUCAAUCCAGUAGGAGACCACGCACAAGUCCCUCGCACCUACACAAAAUGAUAGCUCCUCGCAACCAACGCGAUUAGGGGUUUGUCAAUCCCUUCACGGUCACUUAUGAGAGUGAGAUCUGAUAGAGAUGGUAAAUAAUAUUUUUGGUAUUUUUGGUAUAGAGAUGCAAAGUGAAAAGUAAAAGGCAAAGUAAAAACAAAGCAAGUAAUAAAGUAAUGGAGAUUGAUAUGAUGAGAAUAGACCUGGGGGCCAUAGGUUUCACUAGUGGCUUCUCUCAAGAGCAUAGAUAUUCUACGGUGGGUGAACAAAUUACUGUUGAGCAAUUGACAGAAUUGAGCAUAGUUAUGAGUAUAUCUAGGUAUGAUCAUGUAUAUAGGCAUCAUGUCCGAGACAUGUAGAUCGAAAUGAUUCUGCAUCUACUACUAUUACUCCACUCAUCGACCGCUAUCCAGCAUGCAUCUAGAGUAUUAAGUUAAAAACAGAGUAACGCCUUAAGCAAGAUGACAUGAUGUAGAGGGAUAAAUUCAUGCAAUAUGAUAAAAACCCAUCUUGUUAUCCUCGAUGGCAACAAUACAAUACGUGCCUUGCUGCCCCUUCUGUCACUGGGAAAGGACACCGCAAGAUUGAACCCGAAGCUAAGCACUUCUCCCAUUGCAAGAACUACCAAUCUAGUUGGCCAAAGCAAAAGGAUAAUUCGAAGAGACUUGCAAAGAUAACUCAAUCAUACAUAAAAGAAUUCAGAGAAGAUUCAAAUAUUAUGCAUAGAUAAGCUGGAUCAUAAACCCACAAUUCAUCGGUCUCGACAAACACACCGCAAAAAGAAGAUUACAUCGAAUAGAUCUCCAUGAGAGAGGGGCAGAACAUUGUAUUGAGAUCCAAAAAUAGAGAAGAAGCCAUCUAGCUACUAGCUAUGGACCCGAAGGUCUGAAGUAAACUACUCACACUUCAUCGGAGGGGCUAUGGUGUUGAUGUAGAAGCCCUCCAUGGUGGAUGCCCCCUCCGGUGGAGCUCCGGAACAGGCCCCAAGAUGGGAUCUCAUGGAUACAGAAGGUUGCGGUGGUGGAAUUAGGUUUUUGGCUCCUAUUCUGAUCGUUUGGGGAUACGUAGGUAUAUAUAGGAGGAAGGAGUACGUCGAUGGAGCAACAUGGGGGACACGAGGCAGGGGGGCACGCCCUAGGGGGGGCGCCCCCCACCCUCGUGACCGCCUCUGUUACAUCUUGGAGUAGGGUCCAAGUCUCCUGGAUCAUGUUCGGUGAGAAAAUCACGUUCCUGAAGGUUUUAUUCCGUUUGGACUCCGUUUCAUAUUCUGUUUCUUCGAAACACUGAAAUAGGCAAAAAACAACAAUUCUGGGCUGGGCCUCCGGUUAAUAGGUUAGUCCCAAAAAUAAUAUAAAAGUGGAAAAGAAAGCCCAAUAUAGUCCAAAACAGUAGAUAAAGUAGCAUGGAGCAAUCAAAAAUUAUAGAUACGUUGGAGACGUAUCAAUCAGCUCUGUAGGUUCGCCCCAGGCCAGGCCCUUAUUUUCCCAGGAGGUGAGCCGCAUGGGGGUUCCGGAUCGGAACUCGGGGGCCGCUGCCCAGUUGGCACCGUGCGGCUCGGUGAUGUAGAACCACCCCGACUGCCACCCUUUCGUGAUCUCCGCAAAGGAGCCGUCAAGCCAGGUGACGUUAGGCAUCUUGCCCACCAUGGCCCCUCCGCACUCCACUUGCUAGCCGCUCGCGAUCUUCGGCUUCACGCAGAAGAUUUGCAGCCACGGGCCGAAGUGAGGCUUGAUGCGGAGGAAGGCCUCGCGUACGAUGAUGAACACCGAUAUGUUGAGGACGAAGUUUGGGGCUAGAUCAUGGAAAUCUAGCCCGUAGUAGAACAUGAGUCCGCGGAUGAAGGGAUGAAGUGGAAACCCCAGUCCACGGACGAAGUGGGCGAGAAACACGACCCUCUCAUGGGGUCCCGGGGUUGGAAUGACCUGCCCGUCAUCCAGUAGCCGGUGUGCUAUGACUGCGGCCAAGUAUCCGGCCGCCCGAAGAUUCAUGAUAUGCUUCUCCUUCACAGUGAAAGCCACCCACUUGCCUCCUGCUCCGGACAUAUUCAGCUAUGCGGAGAGGACUUGUACUAGGGCGCUGGAGCUCGAGGAGGUAAGGAUGAGCAAAGGAGGGGGAAGGCGUGGGUGAAAAUGGGGAGCCCUUAUCCCUUUAUAAAGGCGACGAAAGCGGUGCGCCUCCUCACUCGCCCGUUGGGAAUCGCUUACUUCCCAAGCGCCACGAUUGAUGGCGUGGUGGGAUUACCCAUACCCGUAUUGAUGAGAAUCCCGUGAUAAGGGGACACGAUCUCUGCUUUGACAAGACGUGUCAAGGAAACCGCCUCGCAAUAUGCGCUGUGGCUGGUUGUGGGAAAACGGUACGAAUAAUGACCCGAUCGUAAUGACAUAUCACGUCGUCUAAAAAGUUGUCGGCUGAAAUAGCAUUCUCUCUACGAUGGUAUGUGAAGAUCAUUUUGCAGAUUCGGACAUGGUUUACGUGUUCGAUGAUUACCUUGGAGUAUUCGAAGAAGAAACCCGCCUUGCAAUGCCGAAGACAAAACUGCGCGCCGGACUCAUCGUCAUUGAAGCCUGGUUCAGGGGCUACUGAGGGAGUCCUGGAUUAGGGGGUAUCCGGACAGCCGGACUAUAUACAUCAUCCGGACUAUUGGAGCGUGAAGAUACAAGACUCAAGACUCCGUCCCGUGUCCGAAUGGGACUCUCCUUUGCGUGGGAGACAAGCUUGGCGAUCCGGAUACUGUAUUUCCUUCCUUGUAACCGACUCCAUGUAAACCCUAGCUCUCUCUGGUGUCUAUAUAAACCGGAGAGGUUGGUCCUUAGAAGGCCGAUCACAACUACAAUCAUAAUCAUCAUAGGCUAGCUUCUAGGGUUUAGCCUCUACGAUCUCGUGGUAGAUCUACUCUUGUACUACUCAUAUCGUCAAUAUUAAUCAAGCAGGAAGUAGGGUUUUACCUCCAUCGAGAGAGCCCAAACCUGGGUAAACAUUGUGUACCUUGCUUCCUAUUACCAUCAGCCUAAGACGCACAGAUCGGGACCCCCUACCCAAGAUCCACCGGUUUUGACACCGACAGCCCCCUCUUCGGACACGCCUCCCUCCGGCGAGCCCCUUCUGCUCGGCUCCCCUGAGGGUGCACCGGCGCUGCCUGCUGCCGCCUCCCUGGUGGACGCACCGGCACUGCCCGCUGCUGCCUCCCUGGAGGCCAUCAUUUCGGCAUCGCCGGAGGCUCGCCCACCGGCCCCGGACCUGCACUCCCCAGCUCUGCCAGGGUCCGACGCCUUCCUGGAGCCUGCGACGGCUGCUUCUCCGACCUCUCUGCCCGUGACGACUGCUUCUCCGACCACUCUGCCCCUGGGUAUUGCUGCGGACGUGGCCACCCCCGUCGCCUCCCACCCGCCCCGGACGGUGCCGUACGCAUGCCGGGCUCGGGCCUCUUCAACUCCGGUGACUGCCUCCCGAUGCAGUGCCCGUCUCGACGUGGACCGCCCCCCUGGAGGCCCAGCACCGUCCAUCUCCGAGCGCACUGAGAUCCGGGCCGCGACCCGGAACCUCGAGUCAGGUGCGCUCGACCUCCCUCCCAGUUCUUCCAGUUGCUCGUUUUCUGCUCUUGAGGCUGUUCCUCUGGGCCACCUCGCCAAGGUGGUCGCGGACUCGUCUGUUGUUUUUAGGGGGGAGGUUGGACCCCCUUAGAGCAGAUCGCUGCGAUCCAGGCCCGGGAAAUCCUUGAUGGGAAACUCGCUGAGACCCGGGCCCGUCUCAUCCGCACUCCGGCACCCUAGCGUCCUACGCUGGAAAUCCGUGGCCGCACCCGCUCCCGUACUGCGGCGCUCAGGGCUAGUAGCGCCUCCUCUGUUUUAGGGUCAAGCAGCCCCCCGAUGGGGGUUUAGAUGCGGGUCCUCUUUUUGAACAUCCGCGGCUUCGGCCAUGACGGCCGGCGCCGCCAGCUCGUGGAGUACAUGCGUGACGAGCACAUCGACAUCAUCGCCAUUCAGGAAACCAUGCGCACGGAUUUUUCUCUCCCCGAGUUGGAGUGUCUUAGCCCCCACCUCUUCGCCUGGCAUUGGCUCCCUUCUAGUGGGACCACGAGGCACUCGGGAGGCAUCCUCUUAGGUGUGAAGGAUGCCACCUUUGAGGUGGGCGGUAUGGACUGGGGCGAUUUUUUGUUAGUAUGGAGCUCUUCGAGAGGGCGCUUAACUUCAAGUGGGAGGUUGUCAUUGUAUAUGGACCGGCGGACCACCGCUGCUCCCCGACCUUCCUUGAUGAGCUCCAUCAGAAAGUCUCCGCCUAGACCUUCCCGGUGGUUGUUGGAGGGGAUUUCAACCUCAUUCGCUCCCCAGAUGAAAAGAAUAAUGACCGAAUCGACCGCCCUAGAAUGCAGAUGUUCAACGACUGCAUCGCGGAUCUCGGCCUCCGCGAGCUUGAGCGGACGGGUGCUAGGUUUACCUGGACCAACCGCCAAGCCGACCCGACGCGGUCCGUGCUGAACCGCGUCUUAGUCUCCCCGGAAUGGGAACUUAGAUGUCCCUUGGCCUCGCUUCGUGCUAUUACCAGGAUUGGGUCAGACCACGUCCCUCUCCUCCUCUCCACCGCUGACGAACGCCCUCUCACCCCGCCUCGCUUCAGGUUUGAGAUCUUCUGGCUCAACCAAGCGAGCUUCAGGGAGGCGGUCGCGGCCAAGUGGACCACUGCGCGCUCCUCUCCCCAUCGGUCCAUGUCGGCUGUGGAUUCCUGGUAGUUUUGUGCCAAGCUCGCCCGCCAAUUCAUGAAGGGGUGGGGCGCUAACCUUGGCAGGGACCUCCGUGAACGGAAAAAAGUCCUCCUAGCGGCCAUCCAGGCCUUGGACUACCGCGCGGACACCAUCGGGAUCUCGCCGGAUGAGUGGCUGGUGCGAUAUGAUCUAGAGGAUCAGCUCGCCACCAUAUAUAUGGAUGAAGAAGCGUACUGGAGGCUCCGCGGUACCCAGCGUUGGGUGCUGCGGGGCGAUGCUAAUACAACAUAUUUCCAGGCGAUUGCGAAUGGGCGGCGACGUCGGAACUCCAUCCGCUGUUUGUGGGAUGGUAAUUCCCAGCUCGUCCGCCCCUUGGACAUCCGGACCCAUGUAGAUGGCUUCUAUAAAGCCCUAUUCUCCCCCACCCUUCGGGGUGGGGUCGCUCUGGCACCCGACACCUGGUCGGGCACCCAGCUUGUGUCUGUUGCGGACAAUGCCGUCUUAGUUGCCUCGUUCUCCGAGGAGGAAAUCCUCGCGAAGAUUAAGGGCAUGAACGCCUCCUUGGCACCGGGGCCGGAUGGACUGCCAGUAUCCUUUUUUAAAGAAUUUUGGCAGACCAUCAAACCUGAGAUCAUGGAUCUCUUUGACGAGUUUUUUCGGGGACCAUGGAUCUUGGGCGCCUGAACUAUGGGGUAGUCACUCUUAUCCCCAAAGUUUCGGGUGCGACGGACAUCCGACAAUUCCGCCCCAUCACUGUGAUCAAUGUGAUAUUUUGGAUCCUGGCCAAAGGGUACGCCAAUAGGGUGACCCUGCUCGUAGACUCGAUUACUCACCCCAAUCAGUCGGCCUUCAUUCAGGGCCAUUUUAUCCUGGAUGGGGUGUUGGUCUUCCACGAGGUCCUUCACGAAGUCCGCUCCAAGCACCAACGGGCGGUAUUCCUAAAGCUCGACUUCCAUAAAGCCUAUGACACUGUGCACUAGCCCUUCCUUCGGGAAGUUUUACUCCGCAAGGGCUUUAAUGACCGCUGGGUGACCAGAGUUAUGCAGCUGGUCUCCUGCGGCCGGACCGCUAUUAACAUUAACGGUGAGAUCGGCCCCUUCUUCUCCACACUUUGUGGGGUUCGCCAAGGCGACCCCUUCUCACCGUUCCUGUUUAACAUGGUGGUCGACGCCCUUGCGGCCAUUCUUGACAAAGCCAAAUCGGCUGGCCACAUCCACGGCGUGGUCCCACACCUUGUAGGAGGGGGUGGGGUCUCCCUCCUACAAUAUGCCGACGACACCAUAAUAAUGGUGGAGGGAUCCACGUCCAAUAUUGCCAACCUGAAGUUCCUCCUUCUCUGCUUCCAACAGAUGUCCGGGCUGACCAUCAACUUCGAUAAGAGCGAAGUGCUGGUGCUGGGAUACCCACCGGAGGAGGCCCAGGACAUUGCGGACCGGCUUAAUUGCCGCCUGGGUUCUUUCCCCAUGACUUAUCUGGGGAUCCCCAUUAGUGACUCGCGCCUCACCGUAGCGGAUCUCCGCCCUUCCGUGACCCAAAUGCAACACCGGGUCGAGCCCUGGAAGGGCCGGUGGCUCUCGAAGGCGGCGCGGGUAAUCCUCAUCAACUCCUCGCUGGCUAGCCUCCUCUGGUUCCUCAUGAGCUUCUAUAGACUCCAUGAGACGCUUCACCAGGAGGUGGCCAAAUAUCAAUCCAGGUUUUUCUGGGCUGGCGAGGAGGAUAAGCAAAAAUACCAUAUGGUGAGCUGGCCGGACAUUUGCAAACCCAAGGACCAGGGAGGUCUGGGGAUCUUGUCCUCCCGUCGCAUGAACAUUGCUCUCCUAACCCGAUGGCUAUGGCGUAUCGCCAACGGAGAGGGCAGCCUCUGGCUUACCAUCAUCCAGAAUAAGUACCUCCAUGGACAACCUCUUGCUUUCUGCCAGCGCUCUGGGGGAUCCCAGUUCUGGCAGACUGUGAUUCAGCUCCUCCCCGUGCUCCAAAUUGGCACUUCUAUCUCGGUGGGCUCCGGGUCCUCGGCCCUGUUUUGGUUCGACCGCUGGCUUGGGGACUCCCCUCUGGCCGUCCGCGUCCCGGGCUUAUUUGCCAUUGCGGUUGACCCCAGGAUCUCCGUUGAGACGGCCCUUAUGGACUUAGGGCGUCUUGCCUUUAGGCGCACCUUUGGCCCCCAGGAGGUUGACGCGUGGGACGCCCUUCUAUAGGACAUCGCUCUCUUGCCGAUGGAUGUAGAGGGCGCCGAUGACUCCAUGGCGUGGCGCCGCCUGGAGCCCUCGGGAUGCUUCUCCACGAAGUCCCUGUAUGCCGCCAUCGCCCCUUCGCCGGCCCCUGAGCCCUUUAGCCUGAUCUGGGACAUUCGCCUCCACCUCAAGAUCCGGAUUUUCCUCUGGUGGUGGAUCCGGGGACGUCUCCCCUCUGGGGUUGAAGUCCGCAAGCGUAAUGGACCUGGGGACGGGAUGUGUCCCCUGUGCGCCACGGUUGAGGAUUCGAACCAUAUUUUCUUCAACUGCUCCACUGCCCAGUUCCUGUGGUCGUGCUUCCGUGAAACGGUCGGCGGACAAUGGUGCAAUACCAACUUCCCCGACCUACUCGUGGAGAUCCAUGCCUCCUCCCCGCGUUACCGCAUAUUAGAUGGUUGUGCGUUGGGAUCCUAGCUUGGACGCUCUGGAAUAUCUGCAACAAGCUCGUUAUUCAGAAAGUGCCUCUGCGGCGUGCGACUGACGCGAUCUUCAAAAUGUGUGGCUAUUUGCAGCUUUGGCGGCCGCUUAGCCGCCCCCAGGACCGGAGCGUCAUCGACGCCCUCCUCACCGACCUUCGAUCGAUGGCCUUCCGCAUGGCGCCCCCGCUUCCGCCACCGCCGCCGGAGCCUGAUUAGGCUGGACUCGUCCGUGGCGGUGUUUUUGUGUGUCCUUUUGUUCUUGGGGCUUGUUGAGUUGUGCCCUCAGUAUUAACCCUACUGGUACCUCGCUGUGUGCGUGUGUGACUUUGAGUGUCUCUGUGUGUGUGUGAACUAUGUUGGAUGUUUGGCUAGGACGAUUUUGUUUUAUCUAUAAAACGGGGCGAAAGCCUUUUUCGGUAAAAGAACUAUAGCUUGGAUAAUAGGCAGAAUCAUAGCCAACUCAAAAUCUUGAGUUUUUUUCUAGUUACCAGAAAAUACAAACUCGAAACUUUUGAUAGACAGUCAAGAUCAAUCAUUGGCUUCAUCGCUUAGAGAAGAAGGCCGCCCACACCCGCUUCGCCGCUUCCUCGAGCAGGCAGCUCGCCCCGGUGUACAGCGCUACGAUGCCCAUGAAACCCACCAGAUCGUCCCGUAGCUUCGCCGACCGAGCCGCGUCCCUGCAUGAAUCACAUGAACAACAUCGAUUGAACUAUGGUAGAAAGACAACAUGGAGAAGAGAUGAGGUUGUAGGUACAUCGCUGCUCGAUCUUACCAGACGGCGUCGCCGGAGUUACGCCUGCAGACGUGGUCAGUGAGCUCGCGGAGCAGCUGCUUGUUCAUCCGGCACUCGGCGUCCUUGUCUCUGCCGUACAUCUCGUCCGCCUCCGCCAUCUCGUCGUACAGCUCCUCCUUCAUGCUCUGGAUCCGCUUCAGGACGCGCUCUUUCUCGCCCCCACGAGUGUGAGUUUGCUGCUGCUGCUGCUGCUGGCGGCAUGAGCAAUGUCGUCAGUUAUUUUUUCCUUUGGACGACCACACAUGGGGAAGCUCCCACGUUGCAUUAAGAAGAGGAAACAAAUUUUGUGAAUCAAGAAGAGGAAAAUUGUAUCAGUUUACGAGGAAAAUCGAUCCAAAAUUAGAGACAAAACCGAGCGAAAAUCAUGAACUCCACUACCUAGCUAGAUUAGACUAGGACCGGAGCGCCGCCACAGGCAAGGCGAACAAGCGACACUAAACAUGACAAUACCGUUGAAGGGUGUUCAGGUCUCCACGACCUUAGCAGCCAGAGCCAGCAUAGCAAGGGCGUCGAUCAGGUAGCCGUACGUGCAUGCCAAUGGGCAAAAGCAAUCGAUCGAUUCGAUCCGGGUGUGAAGGUGCGUACCUCGGUGUGGAUGAACCUUGGCACGAGCUGCCGCUGCCCCAGCUCGACGGCCGGCGAGAGCCGCGAUACCACCGUCUCCUGCGUCUGCCGGAGCACAUGGCCGCCCAGCUUCCUCGCCGCGAACCCGAGCGCCGCCGCGGCCAUCGAUCGCCAGUCUCUUCUUUACUCUUAGUACGAGCAGUGCGUUGUAUCGUUCCGUGCGUGUAGUAUUGUCGUUAGGUCAACUCAGGGGCUGCCGUGGCCGCAUGCAUAUAUACGCGGCGCGUCGUGCCAUACGGUCGGUAACAACUCACGUACAAGACAUGUUCAAAAAAAAGAAACUCACGUACCAUACGCCUCCCUUUCCAUCUAAGGAACUUUCUUUAUUUUUCAUGAGGAAAAAAGAACUUUCAUUGACGGCCCCUCAAACACCCGAGGACGCGCCCGGGCGCGUCACGGGCACUGAAUGGUCCCGUCUCAUAUGUUUGCUUCCACAUCCGAAACCCCCAAACCAUGCAGCUCAUGCAACGCUACAUAUAAACACGAUCAACACGCCAGGUCACCAUCGCAUCACCAGACAAAAAGACCAUAAUUCAUCGGAGUUCAUCGGCAGACAGUGCAAAUGCAUAUUGCAAAUACUUAAAACAUAAAUAAAACGGGAAAGGGCGGAGGAAAUCACCAUUUCCUCGCCGGCCCCUUCCCCUUCCGGUCGUCGGCAUGGCUGUGCCCCUCCUCCAUGUAGGCGUCGACGUGUGGAGGAGCGUCGUCGACGGAGUUGGAGGUGGAGCCGUCCUUCAGGUCGAACUCGGAGCUGCACCUUUGGCCCGACAACCUGCAGAGCAGGAGAUCCACCUCCUUCGCAUGGCGGGCCGCCUUCGCCGCCGCCUCCUUGUUUGCCCCGCACUUCGAAAACUCGAUGGCGAGUCGGAGCACCUUGUCAUUCUUGCAGCAGAGGCGCCACACAUCCAUCUUCGAAACUCCCUCACUAUGUUGGUGGCUCGCUCGUUGUGUAUGCUCACUUUCUCCCUUUUUUUCCUUUUCUUUUCAUCUCAUCAAGAUAGACUUCCUCAUGUGCCAUGGGCAGCCAAGUGAACCUUUCUCCUCUAUGGACAAAACAUAAGCAAUUCGCACGCCCGCUGAUUUGCACAUCACGGUCAUGCAACCACGGUCAUCCAAGAAGCAAGUGACAAUCGUGCAUCGGCACCACAUCACACUCAACAUCAUCUUGAUAUGUCUCUACUGAAAUUGGUAUUCGCACGCUGCUAAUCACCUUAAUUGCGCCACAAUCAUUCAGCCAUUGCAUGCGAUAUGGAUGUGGGUGACGUUUUGUUUGCAAUUGAAGCUUCUCGACCAUCUCCAUGCUUGCAAUAUUGUUGCAGCUGCCACUAUCAAAAAUCAAUCGACAUAUCUUUGAGUUGAUAAGGCAACGUGUGUGGAAAAGAUUAUGCCGCUGCCCCUUUUCCUCCUCCACAACCUGGGCGUUAAGUGAACGACAUACAACCAAAACUUCUCCAUCAAGUUCCUCAUGAGAUAAACUAGUUCCCCCUACUUCCCAACCUUGCUCCUCUUCCACUUCAUCAUUGCCACCUUCAUGGUCACUUUCAGACUCCCAUUCACCUUGUUCAUUGAUGAUCAUAGUUCUUUUGCUGGGACAUUCCAAAGAAAUAUGACCUCUGCCUUUGCACUUGUGGCAUUGAAUGUUGCUGCUGCGUGUAGAACUCUUUUCGGGAGGUGGAGCAAAGGAUACUCCUUCUUUAGCGGAGGACUUCUUGUCUUGAUUGCGAAUAGCGGGUGAGGAAGCCGUCGAGGCAUGUGGAUGUCUAGGUGGUGCACCCUCAAACUGAGAACCAUAUGACUGUUGUGCUCGCUGCCAUGAGCGUGUGGUGGUGCGGCCUUGGAAAGCAUGAGUACGACCAUUACGCAUAUUCUUCUUCUCAACUAUUAUAAUUUGAUGUACCACAUCUUGUAAUGUAUCAUAAGGAAACAUCUCCACAAAAUCUGAUAUUUCAUCAUUCAGCCCAUCUAAAAAUCUCGCCAUCUUCGCCUCAUCACUUUCACGGCUUCUUGUCUGAAUUAGCAGCACCUCCAUCUCUUUAUAGUACUCCUCAACAGUGCGGGAAUCUUGAGUGAGCCCCUGCAACUGCUUGUACAAUUGCCUCUCGUAGUAUGAUGGAACAAAACGGCGCCUCAUGACUUCCGUCAUCAAAGUCCAGCUGCGGAUAUGAUUAUUGCCUGACAUCAACCGAUCAUCUUGCAGCUGAUUCCACCAUGUAAGAGCAUAACCAGAGAACUCCAUAACAGCAAGAUCAACUCUCUUGGCUUCAAAAAACUCAUGGAUGCGAAAGAUUUGGUCACACUUCUCUUCCCACUCAAUAUAUGCAUUUGGAUCCUCUUUUCCCGUGAAUGAUGGCACAUGUAGCUUCACUCUCGCUUGGUUGACACGGUCAUCCUGAUCAUGAUGGUCAUAAGGAUGACCAUUGUGACCAAAAACAACACCACGGCGAGGCGGGGAGUAGGGUUCACAAUCCCCCAUGCCUUCAUCUUCGUCACCAUGCUCGGAGAGAUCUUCAAGGAAGAUGGCAUCACCAUCAUGUGUCGCUCGUCGCUGGUGAUUAGCAGCAAACCCGUGGGGGUCAUGGCCUCGCCCAGGAGCUUCUCCUCCAUGCAGCCCACCCUCACGGGGGAAGCAAAGUCUCCACGCCUUCGUUCAGCACCAGCGGCAGGGGCAUCGUGGGUAGCAGCUCCUGCCACUCUUCCACGACCAACAUGGCGAUCAUUGUUUCCUUGACGUUGCCGGUUGUUGGCGGCCAGCGAGGCAGCGGGGCUGUGUUGAUGUUGAUCCCCAUUACCCGCGAUAGGAAGACGACCACCGAACAUACUUCGCAUAGCUGCAACUAUACUCUCCUCAAUCAUAUCACCAAGUGAUGCGCGAGUUUUUGGGAGAUCAUCUUCCACAUGUUGAUGUCCAUGUACACUCGAGUCAGAUCUUGUCAUGUUAACUCUUGCAAACAAGUGAAAAAAAGAAAAAAAUAUGUGAAAAAACACUCAGCUCACCUUCUUGCUUACCCGAAUUCUAAUGAUUCCUUGGCGGCUGUGCGGAAGUAGCAACUCAGGAGUGGACGGGCGAAUGAAAGGAAGGAAGCUGACGGUUUCUAGGUGGAUCUGGGUGGGGUAAAAAGGGAGGGCUAGUGCUGAGAUCCAAUCGAUGCAAACCAAAUGAACAAGAAAAAAAAUUGUAGAUCCUUGCAUCACGUUUGAGCUGCAACACUUGCCACUUCAACUUCUGAAAUUUCUCACCAAAUUGAAUAUGAUUGCACAAUUUCUCAACACUUUCUCUUCUCUUUUUUUUUGCUCACUUUUUCUUCACUCUUUUUUUCCUCUCUUUUCUUUGCUCUUUUUUUUUGCAAGACAAUAGAUCCAACAACAAGGCUCAAAGAAAAACAUCAACAACUUUGGAUAGAACUUGGUGCAAACACAAAAAGGAAAGCAAACAACUAGAUCUCAACAAUGAAGGCUUGGAUUGUUUUUGUGGCUUUUUGGAUUUGGACUCUAGGACGGGGAAAACCAAACUAAAAAGGAUAGAUCUAGCAACAAAGACACAGAUCCUACCGUGUAAACCUUGCUCUGAAUACCAGAUGAUGUGACCCCGUCUUCGAAGAAGAGGGAGUACAAGGGGAGGUCCGAUCUUCACGGCGUAGGAUCGAUAAAUGAAUGGGGAUAACUAGCUGCAAGCAGCCAGAAAAUGGAAAAUAAGAGAUUAUGACCCGACGAGGAGGAGGCUCACCGAAGCUUGCAAUUCGAACAUUCGCCGAUCCACAACCCACAAUACUACCCCACACAACCGCGCUCAAGUUGUGGAGCACGGGAUAGGUGCAAUCCGCAAGGGAAACCACGGACUCUAAUCCAAACAACACGAUCUAGUCGUGGAGCACGAAUUAGGAGCAAUUUCUCAAGGAAUCACGAUAAUAAGGAUAACAAGACCUCUCCAAUCUCAGGAGGAGUCUAUGUCUUUGGUCUUUGAUAGAAAUGGCAAAAAGUCCCCAACAAAGGGAAGAGCUAGCCUAUUUAUAACCGAGACAACCCCCUGGAUAGGUGUGAAAGAGAACAAGCUUCUGGAACCAGUUUAGGUGUGAAAGUGAACAGGCUUUGUUUGACUAAACGGCUUCAAGACUUAAUGGGAUAGUUUCUGGAAAACUCUCGUUGGAGGUGGUUGGUGGUUCCGACCAAACAUUGUUCACUGGGGUCGAACAAUGUUUCCUUCAGCAGAAAACUCGAGUUCUGGAAACCUUUCGCAAGUUGAGAUAUUCAAACUCGUGCAAAACAUUGUUCCGUCAGAAUCGGAACAAUGUUUCUUCAGCAGACAACUCAUUCUUCAUGGAUUCCUAAGUUUGCUUCCGCGCCAUAAAACAUUAUUUUGCACGGACUGAAAUGUGUUUGGCCUUCUUCGACAUCGCACCUGAGUUCAACCAACAACAAAGGAGGUGAAGGCACAACCAUAUUUUCAAGGUCAAAUGAUAGACUUAAGUUAGCGUUCACCUGAUCAUGUAUUUGCAUUGCGCGACUUCUUGUGAUUGGACCAUUGAUGGUUGAUGGUGUGGUGCCCAUGGUUGGGAUGUCCUCAUCACAAAGCAAAGCACAAAAACUGACAAGUAUAAGCUUUUACUUAAAUUUAUCUGGAACAACCAUGAGUAUUGCCAAUCAUGACAAAGAUUGUGAUGGUCUCUACAUUUUAAUGGGACAAAUGCCUUAGCAUUCACAAAUGCAAUUCAUCAUGUGCAAUUCCAUACAAAGUACCAAAGCUCCUCAUUUAAAGAUCGCUAAUGUCUCACUAAACUAAAAUUGAUGAUAAAGUGGUUCUUCCUUUGUGCAAUAAGCGGUAAGUGUUCAGUCCAUUAGUGGAGCACAAUGUCAAGCACGGCCACAUCGGCUUCGGCGAGGAGAACGGCUUCGUGCCCGGUCGUGUCGUGCGGGUGUUGCAGCUUGCUCGUUCUUGCCGAAACAAUUGAUCUAUCCGGUGCCUAUGUAGUUGUGCGUGUGUAUCUGGCCAACUCCGUUUGCUAGGUGCACGAGCCAACUUCCAAUGAAAAUCGAUCGGGUGCUUCUGCUAGCUCCAGUGUACGUGCGCGUACAAGCGUUCUGGCCGGAAGGAAUCGCCACCGUCUGCCGUGUCGGACAUUGCUGUCAGCCUGGAACGCCUCAGCCUUAGGGUAUGUACAAUGGUUCUAUCUUAACAAUGCCACGUAAGAUAAAUGAUGAGAUGGAGGAAAGAAAAAUCAUAAAAGAAGGCUUGUCUUCUCUUAAUUAAGAGAAGGCAAGAUAUGAUCUCUUAGCACAAUAUGUCUCAUCACAUUUUUAGGAAUAAC